AGAACGACUCUCGGCAACGGAUAUCUCGGCUCUCGCAUCGAUGAAGAACGUAGCGAAAUGCGAUACUUGGUGGAAGUGCAGAAUCCCUGAACCAUCGAGUCUUUGAACGCAAGUUGCGCCCGAAGCCACCAGGCCGAGGGCACGCCUGCCUGGGCGUCUCAC
rnacentral:rRNA from 1 species